rnacentral:rRNA from 1 species
UUAGAGUUUGGAUCAGGCUCAGGACGAACGCUGGCGGCGUGCUUAACACAUGCAAGUCGAACGGAUCACAUGCUUCGGUGUGUGGUGAGUGGCGAACGGGUGAGUAACACGUGAGUAACCUGCCCUCCACUGGGGGAUAACUGUGGGAAACUUCAGCUAAUACCGCAUAUUCACACUUUUUCGCAUGAGUGGGUGUGGAAAGAUUUUUUGGUGAGGGAUGGACUCGCGGCCUAUCAGCUUGUUGGUGGGGUAAUGGCCUACCAAGGCUUUGACGGGUAGCCGGCCUGAGAGGGCGACCGGCCACACUGGGACUGAGAUACGGCCCAGACUCCUACGGGAGGCAGCAGUGGGGAAUAUUGCACAAUGGGCGAAAGCCUGAUGCAGCAACGCCGCGUGCGGGAUGACGGCCUUCGGGUUGUAAACCGCUUUCACCAGGGGCGAAUUCAGACGGUACCUGGAGAAGAAGCACCGGCUAACUACGUGCCAGCAGCCGCGGUGAUACGUAGGGUGCAAGCGUUGUCCGGAUUUAUUGGGCGUAAAGAGCUCGUAGGUGGUUUGUUGCGUCGGAAGUGAAAACACGGAGCUCAACUCUGUGCUUGCUUUCGAUACGGGCAGACUUGAGGAAGGUAGGGGAGAACGGAAUUCCUGGUGGAGCGGUGGAAUGCGCAGAUAUCAGGAGGAACACCAGUGGCGAAGGCGGUUCUCUGGACCUUUCCUGACGCUGAGGAGCGAAAGCGUGGGGAGCAAACAGGCUUAGAUACCCUGGUAGUCCACGCCGUAAACGGUGGGCACUAGGUGUGGGGUCCAUUCCACGGAUUCCGUGCCGUAGCUAACGCAUUAAGUGCCCCGCCUGGGGAGUACGGCCGCAAGGCUAAAACUCAAAGGAAUUGACGGGGGCCCGCACAAGCGGCGGAGCAUGCGGAUUAAUUCGAUGCAACGCGAAGAACCUUACCUGGGUUUGACAUGUGCCAGACGACAUCAGAGAUGGUGUUUCCUUUUUGGCUGGUUCACAGGUGGUGCAUGGCUGUCGUCAGCUCGUGUCGUGAGAUGUUGGGUUAAGUCCCGCAACGAGCGCAACCCUCGUCCUAUGUUGCCAGCGGGUUAUGCCGGGAACUCAUGGGAGACUGCCGGGGUCAACUCGGAGGAAGGUGGGGAUGACGUCAAGUCAUCAUGCCCCUUAUGUCCAGGGCUUCACGCAUGCUACAAUGGCUGGUACAAAGUGUUGCGAUCCCGUGAGGGUGAGCGAAUCACGUAAAGCCAGUCUCAGUUCGGAUUGGGGUCUGCAACUCGACCCCAUGAAGUCGGAGUCGCUAGUAAUCGCAGAUCAGCAUUGCUGCGGUGAAUACGUUCCCGGGCCUUGUACACACCGCCCGUCAAGUCAUGAAAGUCGGUAACACCCGAAGCCGGUGGCCCAACCUCUUGUAGGGGGGAGCCGUCGAAGGUGGGAUCGGUAAUUAGGACUAAGUCGUAACAAGGUAGCCGUACCGGAAGGUGCGGCUGGUCCCCCCUCCCUUUUAAAAAAGGACCCCCCCCCUUUUCUAGCUGGAA